GAUGAACGCUAGCGGGAGGCUUAAUACAUGCAAGUCGAACGGUAACAGGGAACAAUUUCGGUUGAUCUGCUGACGAGUGGCGCACGGGUGAGUAACGCGUACACAACCUACCUUAUACAGGGGGAUAGCCUUUGGAAACGAAGAAUAAUACCCCAUGGUAUGUACUAAUUGCAUGAUUGGUACAUUAAAGAAUUUCGGUAUGAGAUGGGUGUGCGUUAGAUUAGCUAGUUGGUAAGGUAACGGCUUACCAAGGCGAUGAUCUAUAGGGGGCGUGAGAGCGUGAUCCCCCACACGGGUACUGAGACACGGACCCGACUCCUACGGGAGGCAGCAGUAAGGAAUAUUGGACAAUGGGCGGAAGCCUGAUCCAGCCAUCCCGCGUGCAGGAUGACGGCCCUCUGGGUUGUAAACUGCUUUUGUAUGAGACGAAACGCCUUCAUUUAUGGGGGUCUGACGGUAUCAUAAGAAUAAGCAUCGGCUAACUCCG
rnacentral:rRNA from 1 species